rnacentral:rRNA from 1 species
UACGAAGGGGGCUAGCGUUGCUCGGAAUUACUGGGCGUAAAGCGCACGUAGGCGGCUUUCUAAGUCGGGGGUGAAAUCCUGGAGCUCAACUCCAGAACUGCCUUCGAUACUGGGGAUCUCGAGUCCGGGAGAGGUGAGUGGAACUCCGAGUGUAGAGGUGAAAUUCGUAGAUAUUCGGAAGAACACCAGUGGCGAAGGCGGCUCACUGGCCCGGUACUGACGGCUGAGGUGCGAAAGGCGUGGGGAGCAAACAGG